GACGAACGCUGGCGGCGUGCCUAACACAUGCAAGUCGAACGAGAAUCGACGGAUUGAGACUUCGGUUGAAUGAAGUUGAGGAAAGUGGCGAACGGGUGAGUAACGCGUGAGGAACCUGCCUCUCAGUGGGGGACAACAGUUGGAAACGACUGCUAAUACCGCAUAACAUAUUCGAAGGGCAUCCUUUGAAUAUCAAAGCUUUAUGUGCUGAGAGAUGGGUCCUCGCGUCUGAUUAGCUAGUUGGUGGGGUAACGGCCCACCAAGGCAACGAUCAGUAGCCGGUCUGAGAGGAUGAACGGCCACAUUGGGACUGAGAUACGGCCCAGACUCCUACGGGGAGGCAGCAGUUGGGGGAAUACUUGGGCAAUGGGGAACCCUGCCAGCAACGCCGCGUGAAGGAGAAGGCUUCGGGUUGUAAAC
rnacentral:rRNA from 1 species